rnacentral:rRNA from 1 species
CCUACCGGAGGCGCCGCCGGGGAAUAUUGCGCAAUGGGGGAAACCCUGACGCAGCCAUGCCGCGAGAGUGACGAAGGCCUUAGGGUUGUAAAGCUCUUUCGCUAGGGAAGAUAAUGACGGUACCUAGUAAAGAAGCCCCGGCUAACUCCGUGCCAGCAGCCGCGGUAAUA